rnacentral:rRNA from 1 species
AUUGAACGCUGGCGGUAUGCUUAACACACGCAAGUCGAACGAUGAGAAAGAGCUUGCUCUUUCGAUUAGUGGCGGACGGGUGCGUAACGCGUAGGAAUCUACCUAUUAGUGGGGGACAACUUAGGGAAACUUAAGCUAAUACCGCAUACGCCCUACGGGGGAAAGAAGGGGAUCGCAAGACCUUUUGCUAAUAGAUGAGCCUGAGUAGGAUUAGCUAGUUGGUGGGGUAAAAGCUCACCAAGGCGACGAUCCUUAACUGGUUUGAGAGAAUGAUCAGUCACACUGGAACUGAGACACGGUCCAGACUCCUACGGGAGGCAGCAGUGGGGAAUAUUGGACAAUGGGCGAAAGCCUGAUCCAGCAAUACCGCGUGUGUGAAGAAGGCCUUAGGGUUGUAAAGCACUUUCAAUUGGAAGGAAAACCUCGAAGCUAAUACCUUCGAGUUCGACAUUACCUUUAGAAGAAGCACCGGCUAACUCCGUGCCAGCAGCCGCCGUAA